UGUUGUGGCAUCUUUCUUCGCAAUGGAAUCAUCAUCAACCGAGGAAUAAAAUCUGUACAAGAUGAAAGAAUCAUCAGCAACCUGGAGGAACGAAACCUGUGCAAGAUAAAAGAGAAGCAAAAAGAAGGAAGAUGGAAAGAAGUAAAUGGAGAAUAGAUAAAUAUAUAUCAGAUAAGUAGAUAAUAUUCUCAUACAAUCCUGGAAAAAAAUGUUUCAUAUAAGAACAUAUAUGAAACAUUUUUUCCCAGGAUAAAAGAUUAUGUAUCCUAUGUACGUGUUCUUUGUAAAUUCUUUGUAAAUAAUUAAAAGAGGAAUAGGGAGUGUGUUAAAAUGUUUAUGAGAAAUAACUUAUAAAUUUUUAUCUUCCUACUAAUUCUGAUAAUUUGUGUAAAAUUAAAAGAAGGUCUAAGUUUUCAUUAUUUUUUAUCUCAUUCCAAAUUCUUAAUAUAUUGUCCUCCCUUUCUUUCAGGAUAUUUCGGCUCGUUCGUGCCCAAAAAUUCGGAUGCCUCUCGAAACUUCGUAUACGCUUCUGGUGCUCAGAAAGAUUUGACCAAAGUUCUCGGUUGUGUCUUUCGGAGACAUUGUUAGUCCUGUGUACUUGUUCGUACACACAGAAGGAAUCGGGCUUAAAGCCGUUUAUCCAUGUCUCUUCAUAAUAUUGAAAGAACGACUGUAAAUAUGUACAAUUUUCGAAUAUAAUUGUCCUUAUCAAUUCGAAGGCUUCUUUUAUUAAUGUACGAGGUAAAAAUGCCAAGGAUAUCAACAGCUUUGUUGCACCCCAACCCAAUUCAUUUUUGUCACCUUUUAGUAUCCCACGUUUGUCAGCAUUAUGUACUAGCGCCUGUAAUGAGAAAUAAAAACGAUUAAAAUC